CGAACGGGUGCGUAACACGUGAGCAACCUGCCGAUCUGAGGGGGAUAGCCGGCCCAACGGCCGGGUAAUACCGCAUACGGUUUGUGAGGGACAUCCUUUACGAACGAAACCUCCGGGGCAGAUCGAGGGGCUCGCGGCCUAUCAGCUAGUUGGUGCGGGUAACGGCCCACCAAGGCGACGACGGGUAGCUGGUCUGAGAGGAUGGCCAGCCACAUUGGGACUGAGAGACGGCCCAG
rnacentral:rRNA from 1 species